rnacentral:rRNA from 1 species
AAUGAACGUUGGCGACAUGGAUUAGGCAUGCAAGUCGCGCGCGAAGCGUAGCAAUACGUGGAGAGCGGCGAAAGGGAGAGGAAUACGUGGGAACCUACCUCGGGGCCUGGAAUAGCGGCGGGAAACUGCCGGUAAUGCCAGAUAACGUCUCCGGACCAAAGGUGUGAUUCCGCCUGGAGAUGGGCCCACGUCCUAUCAGCUUGUUGGUGUGGUAAUGGCGCACCAAGGCUAAGACGGGUAUGGGGUGUGAGAGCAUGCCGCCCACUCACUGGGACUGAGACACUGCCCAGACACCUACGGGUGGCUGCAGUCGAGAAUCUUCGGCAAUGAGCGCAAGCUUGACCGAGCGAUGCCGCGUGCGGGAUGAAGGCCCUCGGGUUGUAAACCGCUGUCGUAGAGGAGUAAUGGUCAGGGGGUUCUCCCUCUGAUUUGAACAAUUCUAGGAGGAAGGACGGGCUAAGUUCGUGCCAGCAGCCGCCGUAACAC